rnacentral:tRNA from 1 species
UCUCUAGUGGUUCAAUUGGUAAAGAAUCUGCCCAUAAUGCAGAAGACCUGGGUUCGAUCCCUGGCUCGGGAA